GGCUGGGCCCACUGCUUCAGGAGAGCCACACCAAGGACGGCCAGCAGGACUGCGGUGCUCUCGGAAGGAACUGAUCUGCGGGGUGGUAGCUUGGAGUCAAUAGAGGAUGUGGAACGCUAGCCAAGGCACACCACCACCACCGCAGAUGCAAGUCUGCCCACCUGCCCCUCCGAAUUGCCAGUACCCUGGGCCCAGCAACCCUUGCUACCCAGCAGUGCCACCUGGCCCCCCUGGGACCUGCCCCCCAGGGCCCCAUCCACCUGGCCCUCACCCACCAGGCCACCACCACCAUGGUCACCACUCACCAGGCCACCACCACCACGGCCACCACCACCAUGGGCAUCCCCCACAUGGGCCACCAGGAUGCCCACCAGGGUGCCCACCAGGCCACCAUGACUGCCAUCAGAAGCACAAGAAGAAGCACAAGAAGAAGCACUCCAAGUGUUCCCACAAGCACCAUGGAGGCAAGCACUCAGGCAGCUCAAGCAGCUCAAGCAGCUCUGAUUCUGACUGAAGAGAACAUCUCCUGCCUGUGUGGAGGUGAACCCCGAGGAGACAAUAAACGAAGACAAAUGCCCCGCAAGAGCCACCUACUCGUUGUGCUGCCCCAUUCUCCCUUCUCUGCAGCCUGCAUUUUGCCUGUUGGUGAUCUUCUCGCUUUUUGUUUGUAAAUUCUUUGCCCUGGAAUUGUUGUAAAUAAAGGAACAGA